rnacentral:rRNA from 1 species
ACGAACGCUGGCGGCGUGCUUAACACCUGCAAGUCGAACGAUGAAGCCUAGCUUGCUAGGUGGAUUAGUGGCGAACGGGUGAGUAAUACGUGAGUAACCUACCUUUAACUCUGGGAUAAGCCCGGGAAACUGGGUCUAAUACCGGAUACGACCAAUCUCCGCAUGGGGUGUUGGUGGAAAGCGUUAUGUAGUGGUUAUAGAUGGGCUCACGGCCUAUCAGCUUGUUGGUGAGGUAACGGCUCACCAAGGCGACGACGGGUAGCCGGCCUGAGAGGGUGACCGGCCACACUGGGACUGAGACACGGCCCAGACUCCUACGGGAGGCAGCAGUGGGGAAUAUUGCACAAUGGGCGCAAGCCUGAUGCAGCGACGCCGCGUGAGGGAUGACGGCCUUCGGGUUGUAAACCUCUGUUAGCAGGGAAGAAGAGAGAUUGACGGUACCUGCAGAGAAAGCGCCGGCUAACUACGUG